AAUAAUAAUAGUUAUUAUAAUUGGUUCAGGGUUAGCUCGUGUCCGUCAAGUUUUGGAUGUACACGGGAAGUUUCUAAGCACUAGAGAAGCGUAAGAGUAUCACCAAGUGCGACUCUUAAUUUCUUCUCUAGUGCUUAGCAAACUUCCAAGUGCACUCAUAACCCGAUGGGU